rnacentral:lncRNA from 1 species
ACAAAAUCCACUUUUGGCGUAUUGAAAUUUUUAAACUUGUUACCUUUUGUUAGCUAUUAUUCGUGUGUUUCUUUGUCAAUUGUGUUCUCCUAUUUAUUUAUGUUGUAGUCCUGUAAUGUUGUGUUGUCAUUUUAAUGUUAUAUUUCACAUGGCCAUAAAAGAGGGAGGUUUGGCAUGCCACAAAACCAGGUUCAACCCACCAUUUUUUCCUUUAAAAAUGUCCUGUACCAAGUCAGGAAUAUGGCCAUUGUUAUAUUAUAGUUCGUUUCUGUGUGUGUUACAUUUUAACGUUGUGUUUCCGUUGUGUCGUUUGUUUUCUCUUAUUUUCGAG